CAGGAUGAACGCUGGCGGCGUGCCUAAUACAUGCAAGUCGAGCGAACUGAUUAGAAGCUUGCUUCUAUGACGUAGCGGCGGACGGGUGAGUAACACGUGGGCAACCUGCCUGUAAGACUGGGAUAACUUCGGGAAACCGAAGCUAAUACCGGAUAGGAUCUUCUCCUUCAUGGGAGAUGAUUGAAAGAUGGUUUCGGCUAUCACUUACAGAUGGGCCCGCGGUGCAUUAGCUAGUUGGUGAGGUAACGGCUCACCAAGGCAACGAUGCAUAGCCGACCUGAGAGGGUGAUCGGCCACACUGGGACUGAGACACGGCCCAGACUCCUACGGGAGGCAGCAGUAGGGAAUCUUCCGCAAUGGACGAAAGUCUGACGGAGCAACGCCGCGUGAGUGAUGAAGGCUUUCGGGUCGUAAAACUCUGUUGUUAGGGAAGAACAAGUACAAGAGUAACUGCUUGUACCUUGACGGUACCUAACCAGAAAGCCACGGCUAACUACGUGCCAGCAGCCGCGGUAAUACGUAGGUGGCAAGCGUUAUCCGGAAUUAUUGGGCGUAAAGCGCGCGCAGGCGGUUUCUUAAGUCUGAUGUGAAAGCCCACGGCUCAACCGUGGAGGGUCAUUGGAAACUGGGGAACUUGAGUGCAGAAGAGAAAAGCGGAAUUCCACGUGUAGCGGUGAAAUGCGUAGAGAUGUGGAGGAACACCAGUGGCGAAGCGGCUUUUUGGUCUGUAACUGACGCUGAGGCGCGAAAGCGUGGGGAGCAAACAGGAUU
rnacentral:rRNA from 2 species